CCUACGAGUGGCAGCAGUGAGGAAUAUUGGUCAAUGGCCGGAAGGCUGAACCAGCCAAGCCGCGUGAAGGACGAAGGUGCCAAGCAUUGUAAACUUCUUUUGUCAAGGGACAAAAUCAGGCUCGAGAGCCUGACCGAGGGUACUUGAAGAAAAAGCAUCGGCUAACUCCGUGCCAGCAGCCGCGGUAAUACGGAGGAUGCGAGCGUUAUCCGGAAUUACUGGGUGUAAAGGGAGCGUAGACGGCGAGGUAAGCCUGAAGUGGAAGCCCGCGGCCCAACCGCGGAACUGCUUUGGGAACUGUUUUGCUGGAGUAUGGGAGGGGUAAGCGGAAUUCCUGGUGUAGCGGUGAAAUGCGUAGAUAUCAGGAGGAACACCGGUGGCGAAGGCGGCUUACUGGACCAUAACUGACGUUGAGGCUCGAAAGCGUGGGGAGCGAACAGGAUUAGAUACCCGAGUAGUC
rnacentral:rRNA from 1 species